CCCCUCUCAGGGUUGCAACGGGAGGGUUUCCAGUACUCUACCAGUCCCGACUACGGGAGGGAGAGUCAACCAGAGGCAUACCCAUUCCAUUCCUAGCUUGGCCACUAGCUAGUGAGUGGAAGACCAUCUGCUGCAAGU